GACGAAGGGGGCUAGCGUUGCUCGGAAUUACUGGGCGUAAAGCGUGCGCAGGCGGUUUUGUAAGUCAGAUGUGAAAUCCCCGGGCUCAACCUGGGAACUGCGUUUUGAAACUACAAGGCUAGAGUGUAGCAGAGGGGGGUAGAAUUCCACGUGUAGCAGUGAAUGCGUAGAGAUGUGGAGGAAUACCAAUGGCGAAGGCAGCCCCC
rnacentral:rRNA from 1 species